rnacentral:rRNA from 1 species
GGUUAAGCGACUAAGCGUACACGGUGGAUGCCCUGGCAGUCAGAGGCGAUGAAGGACGUGCUAAUCUGCGAAAAGCGUCGGUAAGGUGAUAUGAACCGUUAUAGCCGGCGAUGUCCGAAUGGGGAAACCCAGUGUGAUUCGUCACACUAUCGUUAACUGAAUACAUAGGUUAACGAGGCGAACCGGGGGAACUGAAACAUCUAAGUACCCCGAGGAAAAGAAAUCAACCGAGAUUCCCCCAGUAGCGGCGAGCGAACGGGGAGCAGCCCAGAGUCUGAAUCAGCUUGUGUGUUAGUGGAACGGUCUGGAAAGUCCGACGGUACAGGGUGAUAGUCCCGUACACCAAAAUGCACAGGUUGUGAACUCGAAGAGUAGGGCGGGACACGUGGUAUCCUGUCUGAAUAUGGGGGGACCAUCCUCCAAGGCUAAAUACUCCUGACUGACCGAUAGUGAACCAGUACCGUGAGGGAAAGGCGAAAAGAACCCCGGCGAGGGGAGUGAAAAAGAACCUGAAACCGUGUACGUACAAGCAGUGGGAGCACCUUCGGGUGUGACUGCGUACCUUUUGUAUAAUGGGUCAGCGACUUAUAUUCUGUAGCAAGGUUAACCGUAUAGGGGAGCCGCAGGGAAACCGAGUCUUAACUGGGCGUUAAGUUGCAGGGUAUAGACCCGAAACCCGGUGAUCUAGCCAUGGGCAGGUUGAAGGUUGGGUAACACUAACUGGAGGACCGAACCGACUAAUGUUGAAAAAUUAGCGGAUGACUUGUGGCUGGGGGUGAAAGGCCAAUCAAACCGGGAGAUAGCUGGUUCUCCCCGAAAGCUAUUUAGGUAGCGCCUCGUGAACUCAUCUUCGGGGGUAGAGCACUGUUUCGGCUAGGGGGUCAUCCCGACUUACCAACCCGAUGCAAACUACGAAUACCGAAGAAUGUUAUCACGGGAGACACACGGCGGGUGCUAACGUCCGUCGUGAAGAGGGAAACAACCCAGACCGCCAGCUAAGGUCCCAAAGUCAUGGUUAAGUGGGAAACGAUGUGGGAAGGCACAGACAGCCAGGAUGUUGGCUUAGAAGCAGCCAUCAUUUAAAGAAAGCGUAAUAGCUCACUGGUCGAGUCGGCCUGCGCGGAAGAUGUAACGGGGCUAAACCAUGCACCGAAGCUGCGGCAGCGACACUAUGUGUUGUUGGGUAGGGGAGCGUUCUGUAAGCCUGCGAAGGUGUGCUGUGAGGCAUGCUGGAGGUAUCAGAAGUGCGAAUGCUGACAUAAGUAACGAUAAAGCGGGUGAAAAGCCCGCUCGCCGGAAGACCAAGGGUUCCUGUCCAACGUUAAUCGGGGCAGGGUGAGUCGACCCCUAAGGCGAGGCCGAAAGGCGUAGUCGAUGGGAAACAGGUUAAUAUUCCUGUACUUGGUGUUACUGCGAAGGGGGGACGGAGAAGGCUAUGUUAGCCGGGCGACGGUUGUCCCGGUUUAAGCAUGUAGGCUGAUUAUCCAGGCAAAUCCGGAUAAUCAAGGCUGAGGUGUGAUGACGAGGCACUACGGUGCUGAAGUAACAAAUGCCCUGCUUCCAGGAAAAGCCUCUAAGCAUCAGGUAACAUCAAAUCGUACCCCAAACCGACACAGGUGGUCAGGUAGAGAAUACCAAGGCGCUUGAGAGAACUCGGGUGAAGGAACUAGGCAAAAUGGUGCCGUAACUUCGGGAGAAGGCACGCUGGUGUGUAGGUGAAGUCCCUGCGGAUGGAGCUGAGACCAGUCGAAGAUACCAGCUGGCUGCAACUGUUUAUUAAAAACACAGCACUGUGCAAACACGAAAGUGGACGUAUACGGUGUGACGCCUGCCCGGUGCCGGAAGGUUAAUUGAUGGGGUUAUCCGUAAGGAGAAGCUCUUGAUCGAAGCCCCGGUAAACGGCGGCCGUAACUAUAACGGUCCUAAGGUAGCGAAAUUCCUUGUCGGGUAAGUUCCGACCUGCACGAAUGGCGUAAUGAUGGCCAGGCUGUCUCCACCCGAGACUCAGUGAAAUUGAACUCGCUGUGAAGAUGCAGUGUACCCGCGGCAAGACGGAAAGACCCCGUGAACCUUUACUAUAGCUUGACACUGAACAUUGAGCCUUGAUGUGUAGGAUAGGUGGGAGGCUUUGAAGCGUGGACGCCAGUCUGCGUGGAGCCAACCUUGAAAUACCACCCUUUAAUGUUUGAUGUUCUAACGUUGGCCCCUGACCGGGGUUGCGGACAGUGUCUGGUGGGUAGUUUGACUGGGGCGGUCUCCUCCCAAAGCGUAACGGAGGAGCACGAAGGUUAGCUAAUCCUGGUCGGACAUCAGGAGGUUAGUGCAAUGGCAUAAGCUAGCUUGACUGCGAGCGUGACGGCGCGAGCAGGUGCGAAAGCAGGUCAUAGUGAUCCGGUGGUUCUGAAUGGAAGGGCCAUCGCUCAACGGAUAAAAGGUACUCCGGGGAUAACAGGCUGAUACCGCCCAAGAGUUCAUAUCGACGGCGGUGUUUGGCACCUCGAUGUCGGCUCAUCACAUCCUGGGGCUGAAGUAGGUCCCAAGGGUAUGGCUGUUCGCCAUUUAAAGUGGUACGCGAGCUGGGUUUAGAACGUCGUGAGACAGUUCGGUCCCUAUCUGCCGUGGGCGCUGGAGAAUUGAGGGGGGCUGCUCCUAGUACGAGAGGACCGGAGUGGACGCAUCACUGGUGUUCGGGUUGUCAUGCCAAUGGCACUGCCCGGUAGCUAAAUGCGGAAGAGAUAAGUGCUGAAAGCAUCUAAGCACGAAACUUGCCCCGAGAUGAGUUCUCCCUGAGACUUUAAGUCUCCUGAAGGAACGUUAAAGACGAUGACGUUGAUAGGCCGGGUGUGUAAGCGCAGCGAUGCGUUGAGCUAACCGGUACUAAUGAACCGUGAGGCUUAACCUU